rnacentral:rRNA from 1 species
UGCAACGAUGAAGAACGCAGCGAAAUGCGAUACGUAGUGUGAAUUGCAGAAUUCCGCGAAUCAUCGAGUCUUUGAACGCAAGUUGCGCCCGAGGCUUGCCCUCGGGCAUUUCUGUCAGAGCGUCAC